GUUAUAAUGUGUUUAGAUUAAACCUGGAAUCUGGACCUUGAGGACCCUCGUCGCUGCCAAAAGGAUGGACUGUCAGACUGUCAUCAGGUUUUUACAUGAAUGUUUUACUUCUAAAAAGAAUAACUGUUCUUAAAGUUCAUGGGUUAACAGUUAAUCUUGUUAAAUUAUGGAUUAACUGUGCCCACCUCUUCUUAGCUGUUACAUCACAUCUGCCCAGUCCCAAUCCACUUUUCUCCCCAUCACUUUUCAGCAGGUUUCACUACAAAUGGUCCCUCUGUUUUGGGUCACAGUCUCUGCCUCUGCAGUAAUUAUAACUUCAUUGCUGUGAGCAGCUUUAAAGUCACAAAGUCAUGAAUCAUCUCUGCCCUCUGCUGUAAGUAAAUCUGAAAGGACUGGAUAGAAACUAUUAAAUGUAGAGAGUUUAAAUCUCCUCUUUGAACUCAGUGAUUAGCAGAUGCAAUAUUAAAAAGGAGUGGAUGAUGAAAGAGAAAUCAAUGAUGAUACAGAUGAUUUGAAGGCAGACUUUGUGGGUGGCAGAGCGGUCUGUUUUAGAGGUUUUAUUCACAGAUUACAGUUACACCAGUGUGUCUUUAACUCAUACAUGGACCCUAAACCACCUCACUAUAAGCUCUUUAAAACAUGUUACCCAGGAAGUCUCUGCUGAAUUACUCCUCAUACUUGUGAUCCUCUUUCUUCACAUUUCUCAAGGUUUCUACUCUGCUUUAGUAAACGCUCUGUAGCAUUAUGUUCGGCCUUUAUCUUUCUUUUUUCAUAUAACCACACGGUUUGUAUCUAACCAGUAAUCCCUCUGUGGGUUACACUGAAUCCAAUUAGACCCCGGACACUGACAUUUUUGUAAUUGAUGUUCUCAUUUUGUUCUCUAGACUCGAAAUUGCGCUGCACCUCCGUCAACAACAACAGUCUGCAGAGUCUCAGGAGAUCUGGUCCUUUGCUUGAGUCAACAUUUUGAUGUCCCAGUCGGAGUGGGAAGCGCAAUUCCCGCUGUAUUUCUCGCUGCUGUAUUCACUGUUGCGAGUCAAAACAUACUCUGUUUGCAGCACGUUUAAUGUUAAUGCAGUUAUGUCAGCUUUUUGCAGCACAGAUUUCUUUUAAGCUUUUGCAUUUGUUUGGGCUUUUGCAUGUUUUCUGAAUUUGGCCACUUUGCAUGGAGAUUUUUCAAGCUAUAACUGAUGCAGAAGUUUUUAAUUAAACUGGAAAAAUAAAGUUUUAAGUUAAGACAUCAAGCUUGAAGAGUAUUAUUCCCAAACUAAACCUGUAACUGCG